GACGAACGCUGGCGGCGUGCUUAACACAUGCAAGUCGAACGGCAAGGCCCUGCUUUUGUGGGGUGCCCGAGUGGCGAACGGGUGCGUAACACGUGAGUAUCCUGCCCUUCACUUUGGGAUAACUUCAGGUAACUGGGGCUACUACCGGAUAGGAGCUCCUGCUGCAUGGUGGGGGUUGGAUCGUGUCGGCGGUUGGGGUUGGAUUCGCGGCUUAUCAGCUUGAUGGUGGGGUAGUGGCUUACCCAGGCGUGGACGGGUAGCCGGCCUGGGAGGGUGACCGGCCACAGUGGGACUGGGAUGCGGCCCAGGCUCCUACGGGGGGCAGGAGUGGGAACUAGUGCACAAUGGGCGGAAGGCGGAUGCAACAACGCCGGGUUGGAGAGGACGGCUGUCGGGUUGGAAACCGCGUUGGUUUGUAACGAGGCGUGAGGGAGGGAAAUGAGUAAAGAAGCACGGCCAAAUUAGGG
rnacentral:rRNA from 1 species